rnacentral:misc_RNA from 1 species
CUUUGGCACGUUUAGUCUCUAGUUUCACUUCGUUUUACUGUUGUCACGGUCCUUUCGGUUUCGGUUGCGUGUUCUAUCUUGUGAUUGUGUGUUACAUUGAAGUUAUUCCGGUUUACUCCUCACAUUCUAUAACACAUUCAAAGUAUUUCUUUGCUGCAUAUUAUUCGCAUCCUAGAUUUUUCUGUGUGCAAAUUUCAGUUGUGAGUCGACGUCAUUAUUGCCGAGCGCGGCCGAAACAAAAUGGCCGCAGCCGCGGCCGCCGCAUUGCUCGAUGAGCUUAUGGGUAGGAACAGAAAUGUUCUACCUAAUGAAAAACCCAAAGAACUUAACUGGGAGGAUCCUGAGUUUUGUAAGCUAUAUCUUGUGAAGUUCUGCCCUCAUGACUUGUUUGUCAAUACAAGAGCAGACUUAGGUGCUUGUCCCAGGAUGCAUGAUGAUGAAGCCAGAGAAUUGUUUGAAAAGGCGCCACCUUCGUACCGCAAGCAACAAUAUGAGGAUGAAUUCAUUAGGUACUGCCAGAGUAUGUUAAAUGAGGUUGAACGUAAGAUUGUGAAAGGAAAACAACGAUUAGCCUUGAUUGGUAGAACAGAAGCGCCAACAUUGACCCUGGCUCAAACACAGAAAAAUGAGGAACAAAUUGCUUUAUUGACAGAGAAAAUAAACAAAUUAGUGGAUGAGGCAGAGCAAAGUGGAAUUCAGGGUAAUGUUGAACAAGCACAAGGCUUGAUGCGUCUUUGUGACCAACUAAAGGAAGAACGGGAAACUUUAAAAAAGUCCAAUGAUAAUAGUCAUUAUAAUCAGACUGCUGAAUUAGCAGCUGCACAAGAAAAGCAGAUGGAAGUAUGUGAUGUUUGUGGUGCGUUCCUCAUUGUCGGUGAUGCUCAACAACGAAUUGAUGAUCAUUUAAUGGGAAAACAGCAUGUGGGUUAUGCAAGAUUGAAAAGUGCCCUUCAAGAAAUUAUGAACAAACGUGAAAAAGCGCGUGAUGAGAAAGAGCAGAAGAGAGAGGAAGAGCGAAAACAAAGAGCGCGUGCGAAUGAAGAAUUAGAUAGGCGGCGAAGAGAUGGUGACAGAGAUAGAGAUCGUGACAGAGAGAGGGACAAACGUCGUAGACGUAUAGAUGAUGAUAAACGCCGUGACUCGAGCAGUCACAGAAAUUCCGGGCAUAGAAGUAGAAGUAGAUCGCGGGAUAAACAUGAACGUCAUCGUGAUGAAGAUAGUCAUCGCCGUCAUAACCGAGGAAAUCGUGAUCAUCGGGGUACCAGCCACCACAGCCGACGCCGACACCGCUCGCGAAGCCGAAGUCACAAGUAACUUCUCUUGAUUGGUUAGUGAGUGAGAAGUAAGCCAGGUAUGCACCAAACAAUAUAACCAUAUUCGUCUCAAUUACUGUACAGGUAUUCUUUCGAUCCAGGUGAGUUGCCAUUCCGAUGCACAUAAUACAUAUACAUGAUAAUAUAAUCUGUGAUGUUUGAAGUGCCGCGUAAGUCACACAGCAAGUUCGUCUCGUUUUCUCUCUCUGAAACACACUCUAUCUCUCUCCGUCUCUCUUUAUCUGACUUUCCAUUAAUUCAUCUAUAUGACAAGUCGUUUCUCGUGAAGUAAAAUUUGAUGAAGAAGUUGAUCUGAGGCCGCCGUUGUUCUCUUAUAGUACAUCACGUUCCUCUUUAUCGUUAAAAGUACGAGUCGUAAUUAACGGUGCGUAAGUCAAGUGUGUAAGGUAGUAACUGUGAGAGGUAGUUAAAAUUGAUAGGCUAAAGAAUCUUGAUACUUAUCGUUGUAGGUAGUACCGUAGAUAUCUAUAAUGGACGAAAGAACUCAGUGCAACAAUGGUCUAAUUCGCUUUUCUGACUUGUCAGAAUCAAUGUUGAACACAAGAAAAAUCAACUUCAUCGAAAAGUCAGACCGUAUUGUUGCAGUGGUUUUGAAAAGAAUCAUUUUUACAAAGUGUUUCGAAUAAAUUCAUACUCAUUAACAAUUAAUCAUAGUUAUCAUAUUGAUCGGAUGCUAAAAUAAUUGCAAAAAUAGUAGUAAUUAAUACCUGUGUGUGACAGUUACUUGAUUAAUAGUUUCCUUAAUCGUGAUUACUUUAUUAAUUAUUUGUUAAAGUGAUUGCGAUAGUAAUAGAGAUUAUACUACCCGAUAUUGAUAGAGAUGCAGUUGUCUAACUGAUAUUACAUCCCGUGCACUUUCUUUGUAUACCAAGCAAGCUGGGAGAAGGUAUACCUACGCUUGCUUCCACCAUUAUAAUUCUGUAUCCGAGAAGUGAAUGGACAUAGGUCCAAAAAGUUACCUUUUUUCCAGGAGAACUCGUGAACUUAUCCGAAUUCAUGGAAUCGUGGAUACACAAUUUUAAGACGGAUCAACAAAUGAGCUUGGAUUAAUAUACAAUCAGAUAAUUGAAUUUCGAGAGCUUCAGUUGGAUUUGCUUCGUUUUGUAACUUAUGAGCUCGUAUUUCCCAUUGUGAAGGAUAAUUUUGGAUCUCAUUCCUCUCUGCUUCUCGGAAUACGGAACUGUCUUUCGUAGGUUCGUUAAAAUUGCUCGCGCGUCAAUAAAAGAGAGGGAGAGAGAGAGAGAGAAAGAGAUUUAGUGAUUUAGUGUGGAGAGGACACAGCUCUCAGUGCCCGCUUCGUAGAGCUUCGUCCACGACUGCAAAUGCACGAGUGCACAACUACGAGUGUGCCCUGCAAACGUGUGACUGUGACUAUACGAAGCUCUAGCUUCUGCCACGCAAUUGACGAGGUAUUUAUGCCGGAAUGAUAAUAUCAACACAUGUCCUUCUGUCCAGGAGAAUAUUCCCCUUGCUUCCGUUCUCGAGUAUGUUUUCUCCGAGUCUUUGGCGAAUUAGGGAUCUGACGAUUGUAGGCACGUUUAUAGAUAGUACAGGAAUUCUCGAAUUUCUGGUGUAUAGGGUGACGAUCUCUCUUCGUAUAAAGACUGUGACAAUAACGAGACUAAGACAUUUACUGUUUUCUAAAGAGGAAGUAAGACUAACACUAAAAAUCGCAUUAUUUCUAUCGUAAAGAGAAUAUAUCUAGACGAAAAGAAGACCAUUUUCUUUUGAUACAAGAAAAUGAACAUCAACGGAAGGAAAUAAAUAGCACGAAAUCUCGCUCGAAGAGCAAGCGCUGACUAAUAUUCUUUUUGAUACGCAGCUAUCUCUUUAAAGGAAACACUUAAUUAUUUAAAUAUUUUUGGAAUUAUACACUUCACCGAUAAACCAUCCUAUCUCAUCUGACAAUGGAAGUUAGGUGAUUAGGUGCAUCAGUCACUUCCGAUGCUGUUAACUGAGACAUAAUUGAUAACACUAUAAUAAUAAUAGUAAUAAUAAUAAUAAUGAUGAUGAUAAUAAUAAUAUAAUGAUAAUAAUAAUAAUCAUAAUAAUAUAUAAGGAAAUCAUGCGCUUAUUAAACAAAUACACAAUCAACAAAGAGGCAAGAUUUUACCAGCAAAUCUGGCAUAUGAUUGCACAAUAUUUGACCACUACAUUGAAUCGUGAUCUGAUGACACUUCUGCUAAAAUUUGGAUUCUCUAUUUUCAGAAUGGAGACGAAAGAAAACUCUGGAGAUUAUGCAAGACAUCGCUUAACGUAUUAUUACGUUAAAGAUUUUGCAUAAUCUCAACGAUGGUGAAAGAGUGGGAGAGAAAGGGAAGACAGACGAAGGAUAGAUGCGUCGAGACCAGAGAAACUUGGAUUGGUUUAACUUAUGAUACGAGCGAUUGUUAUUUUAGGCCGUCUAUA